rnacentral:rRNA from 1 species
UACGAGGGGGGCGAGCGUUGUUCGGAAUUAUUGGGCGUAAAGGGUGCGUAGGCGGUUCGGUAAGUUUCGUGUGAAAUCUUCGGGCUCAACUCGAAGUCUGCACGAAAUACUGCCGGGCUUGAGUGUGGGAGAGGUGAGUGGAAUUUCCGGUGUAGCGGUGAAAUGCGUAGAUAUCAGGAGGAACACCGGUGGCGAAGGCGGUUCUCUGGGCAUUACCUGACGCUGAGGAGCGAAAGUGUGGGGAGCGAACAGG